GUUCGAACGGCCCUCAUCAAAUUGGGGUACUCUUCGUCUGAAGCUGUAGGCGCAAAGGGUAAGUAAGUGGAAAACUAAAAUUUAAACCGUUUAUAUUCCAUUUUAUCACUAAUUAAUUAGCCGAAGAAAAAUGCGGUGUGUUUCGGUAGCCUCUUGUUAAAAGGUAAAUUGUUUAAUAGGAUUUAUUAACUAAGAAGGUAUUUUGGAAGUUGGGUAUCCUACGGGAACGAAAUAGUCAAAUUAACUGCAAUGUUGGUGAAUCUUUAAUGGGAUUCGGCAUAUUACCAAGUUUGACCAACAGUCGUCUCCUCAGAUUUUAAUAAUUCAUGGCAUCCGGCGAUAUUAUUUUCGGGAAAAUUAUUUACCGAAAAUGAUUUUUAUGGGAUUUGGUAACGAAGGAUCAAUUUGGACGCGGGACUUUGGAGUAUUAAAUGAAGUCAAGUGUUUCGGUGGCUUGUUUUAUCCCCUCUGUACUACCGAAUAAUAUUUCUCGGUAUAAAAAAAAAAAAAAAAGAGGAGCCGCUUUAUAACUUUAAUCCUGUCCAUAUAUAACGCCGAUAAUGUAAACAAGUGGGAAGUUUUAUCACGGAGAAUUUUUUCCUUAUCAGUAUUUAUUCGGUUGAGAAACACUUAAAUAUCAACCAGGCGACAAUUACGGUUGUAGGUAAGAAGCAGUUCGUUUUUUCGAAUUUUCUGCGUGCGUAUAUCCGUUUAGAACGGAAGCUAGGCAAAUGUGGUGAAUUACUUUAAUAUGGAAAAAGAAAAAGUAUCUGCAGUAUAUUCAAUAGCUCGUCAGCUUAAUCAAGCGAGAAGGAGCUUGGAAAUCUAUGCACUUUAUAAGUUGUAAGGUUUAUUCCGACUCACUGUCGCAUUUAAGAAAACUGGGAAAACAAGAUUGUUACCGAAAUACUCUUUUGCUUUAUAUAUAUCACUAAAGGUAUCAAAUAUUUUCUUUUUCUUUUUUUUCUCUUCCAACAGUCUACUGGGAACAGAUCUUUCUUUGUUUGCCAUCUAAUCAGAUAUGCACUGUUACAGUUCUUGGAAGAGUCAGACUUACAGGAUUAGGCUGCCCUUCUCUACAGGAUUCGCUCUUUCCAUCUCUGGAGUUUCCUGCAUGCACGUCCUUAGUUGCCACUUUAAUACUUACUCCAGUCUGUUCCGAGAGGAGAUCAACAAAAAAAGAAAAAAAAUCUAAUCUUUAGACUACAUUAGAGUGGAGAUGGAAGUUUAUGAGCUUACCAAAGAAGCUGCUGCUACAUGUGUGUAGAGCCCUGUCAAGGAGUUCUACCGCAGAACUGAGGAACAGCAAGGUGCCCAAAGCAGCUUUACUGUUAGGUCCAUGUUUUAUUUAAGGCUGGAUUAAGCGCAGGUCCUGCUGCAUGCCAGCUUAGGCAAAGCAGGGAGCUGGUAGUGGAGAAUCCCAGCUUAAGGCCUGACACACGUCAGGUGUAAGAGGAUUAGGGGGAGCCGGCAUGCCAAGGGAAGUGACAGCUCUGUGCUGCUGCUGUCUUAUCACACCACAGCUGGAGAUGCAUAUGUAGACCGACAAGUAACUUUCACUUAAACAAUGUCCCAAGUAGAUGUAUUUUCGGUAUUUACUAGUAAAAUCGUCCAGACUUUUUUUUAUGUCCUCCGACGCCAGUGUGUUUUCGGAGUCCAAAUGCCAUUUCGUGCGACUAAUCAAGGCGGUCAGAAAUCUGCAAAUCUCCUCUAAUCUUCUAUUUAUAAAAACGUCGACGUUAGUUCUUGUCGUUGCGUACCGACAUCCUGUUAGUUUGGGGUAAUUUUGUUGUUUUUUUUUUAAGUCGGGAUUUUUUCAUCGGAAUUCGCGAUCAAGACGAAAAUGAGUUAAUGGGAUUCUUUUUCUAUUCUUUUAAGAGCCAGCUUAACUUUCUCCAAAAGAUCUCGGUUUUUUCUUCUUUGACAGAUGGCAGCGUUUAAUUUAUUAGAAUGAUAAUGUGGGAUUUUGUUUACUGUCCAUAUGUUGAGCUACAAAAUUUACACAGACUACAUUAUUGUUGGUGAUUUGUCAUUUGAGUAAUUAACAUGCCUGUCAAGUAGAUGCCAAAUAAACAGAAAGUGCCCCAGUGGACCGGGAGUUGAUUAUGCAACUUGCAAUGACAUUACAAACGGAAUCUUUUUGCUGUCACCUUAACGCUUCCGACUCUCUUUUCUCCCAAAUGUUAAGCGAUUACUCGCUAAAAAUUGUACGCCUUAUGACGUUAUUAGUGAAGAGUUUGGGGACAGAUCUCCCCGCUUUAUUAUCAGGUUUUCCACGCAAAAACACCAGCCCUUCAGGGAAUUUCCCACAGUCCAAAUGCCGAUCGUUAAUGCCGCGCAAAUCUUUUGCCUUGUUAGCCACUCCGUCUUCCGACUUGACCACCGAUUGACCCGUUUUGCCCCGCUCCGCCGACCGUAAAAUUAACCUACUUUCGUGCCUUUAAACUCGUAUUAACCGGCGACAAAUGAAUUUUCUGUAGUCACCGUUCGGGAAAGAACAAAAAGAAGAAGAAGAAGAAAAAAAAAAAAAAGAUUAACGAUCGAAAGAAUCGCGUUUGUUGUGUCUGCCCCAUCAUGGAGGGGGAAAAAAGACACACACACACACAUACAGCUAGAGCACACGUCGGUAGGGAAACAGGGACAUUUCGGCUAGAGAAACGCGAGUUUCUUCAGCGGCAAGAUAAUCGAAAGUUACGGACCGACGCCGGUUGUCGUUCCAUAAUAAAAGCUUCAAUGAAACUGCAAAGAUAAUUUUUUCCAUCCAUACCGAAAAAAAAAAAGUUAUAUCUGUCUAUUCAAAAUGCUAUAUUAGUUUCUGAUGAGAUAUUGAAGUGCAUCGCAUACGGCACGCACGGUAUACGUGUGGCAUGAUACACAAUACGUUUUUUGAAUGAUAAAUCUUUCAAAAUACAAUCAUAACAACAGACAAAUGAAAAAAGCAAAAGUGCGAUCUGUUGAUUGCAAAUAUAGCCGUUUGCAACUAGUUACGUAAGAGAUCUUUUUUGUGUAUGUAUGUAUGUAUGUAUGUAUGCAUGUAUAUAUAUAUAUUUAUAUAUAUAGUCAACAUUUUUUCCC
rnacentral:lncRNA from 1 species